UACGAAGGGUGCAAGCGUUAAUCGGAAUUACUGGGCGUAAAGCGUGCGUAGGUGGUCUUUUAAGUCCGUUGUGAAAGCCCUGGGCUCAACCUGGGAAUGGCAGUGGAUACUGGAAGGCUGGAGUACGGUAGAGGAGGGUGGAAUUCCCGGUGUAGCGGUGAAAUGCGCAGAUAUCAGGAGGAACACCGGUGGCGAAGGCGGCGCUCUGGGCCGGAACUGACGCUGAGGAGCGAAAGCGUGGGGAGCAAACAGG
rnacentral:rRNA from 1 species